rnacentral:rRNA from 1 species
CCUACGGGAGGCAGCAGUGAGGAAUAUUGGUCAAUGGGCGCAAGCCUGAACCAGCCAAGUCGCGUGAAGGAUGACUGCUCUAUGGGUUGUAAACUUCUUUUAUAAGGGAAUAAAGUGCGGCACGUGUGCCUUUUUGUAUGUACUUUAUGAAUAAGGAUCGGCUAACUCCGUGCCAGCAGCCGCGGUAAUACGGAGGAUCCGAGCGUUAUCCGGAUUUAUUGGGUUUAAAGGGUGCGUAGGUGGGUUUAUAAGUCAGUGGUGAAAGUUUGCGGCUCAACCGUAAAAUUGCAAUUGAUACUGGCAGCCUUGAGUACAGUUGAGGUAGGCGGAAUGCGUGGUGUAGCGGUGAAAUGCUUAGAUAUCACGCAGAACCCCGAUUGCGAAGGCAGCUUACUAAACUACCACUGACGUUGAUGCACGAAAGUGUGGGUAUCAAACAGGAUUAGAUACCCUAGUAGUC